GAUGAAGAACGUAGCGAAAUGCGAUAAGUAAUGUGAAUUGCAGAAUUCAGUGAAUCAUCGAAUCUUUGAACGCACAUUGCGCCCGCGAGUAUUCUCGCGGGCAUGCCUGUCCGAGCGUCAUUUCAACCCUCAGGGCCCGCCUGCUUGCAGGCGCGGCGCUGGUGUUGGGGAUCGGCUACCCUGCCGUCCCCCAAAUACAGUGGCGGUCUCGCUGCAGCCUCCCCUGCGUAGUAGCAACACUCGCAUGCGGAGCGCGGCGCGGCCACGCCGUAAACCCCCCGACUUUCUGAACGUUGACCUCGGAUCAGGUAGGAAUACCCGCUGAACUUAAGCAUAUCAAUAAGCGGAGGA
rnacentral:misc_RNA from 1 species